rnacentral:lncRNA from 1 species
GAAAAUUAAUAUAAUUAUUAUUUAUAUUAUGAAAUUAUUAAAUCGGGAAAAUGGAGAAAACAGACCGAUAUGCAGCCACCAAAAAUAGAAAAACUACAUCAGAACAAACUAGGACAAUUACACCAAUUAGUCGAAAAUCAAAGUAAGAAAUCGUUAGAUCCCCAAACCGAACUGAAGUGGAACUGGCUAGAAUCCGGCCAGAUUAUAGCAAGAAACCAACUAAUCCACCAGCAGAGGCGGGACAACAGAAUCAAAACUCAGAAUCCGAUCAAAACAAAUAACAUUACACAAAAAUUAUCAAUCACAUUAACUACUCUAAAUGAUGUGCCAUGACUAUCUGAGCAACUAACUACACGAGCACCAUCAAAUUCACCCGAAUGGGUAACUGAAAUCGGAGACACAACUUCUUGUAACUCUAAUUUUGACUUGUUUGACAAUUUCUUGACUAAAGGAUCACUCUUCAAAAUAGGUUGAAUUACUGGCAGUGAAAAAUUAUUCAACUUGGAAGCAGUGGAGACCACAAAGGCAACCAGAACUACCCGCGAUCACCGCCUGGACUCAUCAUCUCCAUACACACUAGUUCUUAAAUAUCGCUUUCUUGACACCAUCCUCACCACUACUAUCAUUGUCAGGUCAGAUCUGACGUUAAUCGAAUCGGACCAAGUCUAAUUUCUGUAGACUAACAGACAUUCGAUUCGGUGAUGGUGUCGAACUGAGAAAAUGCCUCUAGAGACUGAUCAGUGGUGGGGAAUGAACGACAGAGGAGGAGGAGGAGGUGGUGCUGGAGGUACAAAAGGGUAUAGUGGUGGCGGCGGUGGGUGGAACGGUGGCAGAGGAACGUGGUAUCACGAUGCAAGAUAUGGAGGGGAAAGGAGGAAGAAGGAUGUUAUACUCAAUUUGGAUUAUUAAUUAAUUUAAUUAUUAAACUUACCUUCUGUCCUUGUCAGUGACACAUAGAUUUAAUCGAUUGACACGGAUUGCCACAUCUUUUUUUGUUAAAUGGUUAACAGACAUAGAUCGCAAAAUUAUUUUUUGUAAAUAAUGUAUAGUUCAAUAAAUUGAUUGUAAAAAAAUCAAUUCGGUGAUGCAUUUAUAAACCAACUCCAUGUAGAGUGGGAAAAAGUGUAUUUAAU